UACGUAGGGUGCAAGCGUUGUCCGGAAUUAUUGGGCGUAAAGAGCUCGUAGGCGGUCUGUCGCGUCGGCUGUGAAAUCCCGAGGCUCAACCUCGGGUCUGCAGUCGAUACGGGCAAACUGGAGUGUUGCAGGGGAGACUGGAAUUCCUGGUGUAGCGGUGAAAUGCGCAGAUAUCAGGAGGAACACCGGUGGCGAAGGCGGGUCUCUGGGCAACAACUGACGCUGAGGAGCGAAAGCGUGGGGAUCAAACAGG
rnacentral:rRNA from 1 species